ensembl:lncRNA
GAGCAUUUCCCAGCUGGAGGCAGCAAGAAGGUAAGGCCUCACUGGGGUCUGAUCGUGCAGCGCUAUGUGUGUAUCCAGGGUUCCCUUUCCCCAGUGCCGAAUCCAGCUCUUGCUCUUGUUAAACUUCAUGUGGCUGGAGACUGCCCAGCUCUCUAAUUUGUCCAGAUCUCUCAGCAGGGCUUUUCCACUCUUGACACAAGAGUCAGCAGCUCCUCCCAGUUUAGUACUCUCAGCAGAUUUGUUUUUAUUGUUAGUUUGUAAGAGGAAUUUCAUCACAACUCUGGUUGGAUACUGGAACUUAUCCACACCUAACACGUCAUGUACUUGGAAAAAAAAGGAAAAAAGAAAAAAAACCACAAAAAACCAACGUGGCUUAAUAAGGGGGAGUAGGUAAGGCCUCACUGAGGUCUGAUCGUGCAGUGCCAGAGUGAGAGGGUGACCCGACCUGGCUGCACAGGGGUCACCUGCAUUUCUCCUCUGGUCAGCUUAAAAUGACACGCUUGGGUGUUCUCUGUGUUUCUUUCUUCAAACUGGGACCAAGUAGGCGUG